UUAAUUAAAACCAAAAAGAGGUGUAUCAUUGUUAAUGAUAAAAUUGAUGUAAAAUCUAAUUAAA
rnacentral:tRNA from 1 species